UCGCCCCUCCCCCUUCCGGCCCCGCCACAGACAGCGCGCAGACUCACCGGCGUCUGUGGUCAGCGGCCGGGGCACCACCUCCUGAGCUGCUGCGGGGGUAGGCGCCACCUUGCUGAUGCGCAUCUCCACCCCCCGGGGCCCCUGCUCUGACAGGCUGAUGUCCACGCCGAUGCCCAUGGUGCCAAACAUCUCUCGGAAGCAGGUGGCCGCACGGUGGGCCUCGGCAAGCGCCUCGAAGCGAAUGUAGACAAAGUGCUCUUCUUCGCGGUACGUCCGCCAGUCCCCCGGCUCCUCCGGCUCCGCCGGGCCCUCGUCUGCGCUCAGGAAGAGCUCUUCGUCCGAUACUUCGGCCGGGCCCUUGGUGCGGAACAGGCGGUGCAGCCGCCGGGCUGCUCGGCGGAAGGCGUCAUCCAGCUCGCCCCCCGAGGAGCUCUCCGCCUCGCUCUCCGUCCCGCUGACUACCACACAGGCGCUGUGGGCCACGUGGCCGAACUUGCUGCUCACCUGGCAGGUGUAGCGGCCAGCGUCUGCACGGCCCAGGCCCGUCACCAGCAGACAGCAAGUGCCGUCCCCAAGCUGGUCGAUGUGGUGGUGCCGGCCGUCAGUCAGCUCCACGCCGUCCUUCAGCCAGCGAGCACGCACAUCCGCCUUGCUGGACACCACACACUCCAGACGCAGGACAUCUCCCACCUGUGCCUCAGUGUCCCCAAACGUGCGGGAGAACACGGGUCCUUCCUGCUGCUUCAUCUCUUUGCGGACCUUGUAGCCUUUGAAGGCAGCCUGGAUCUUCACCGCUGCCUUGUCCAUGGACGGGUCACCCAGGUCUUCAGCCCUCAGGCUUCCCGGGGGUGGGUGAACUGCAGGUGGCUGUUCCUGAUGCUUCGGUGGCUUCCCAACUGCAGGGAUCCCAAGCUGUGUGCACAGACCUCAGUCUUCUUUGGUGUGAGAGGGGCUCCCCAAGAGGAUCAAGGAGCUGAUGAAGAGGAGGGGCUGGCUUACCCCCACCCACCCCGCCCCACCCCACCCCACCCCCACCUUAGCUGGGUCCCAAGGACACACCCUGGAAGGAGGCAGCUGCAGAGGAGGCCGGGUCUCGGGUGAGGCCACAGCGGUACUCCCCCUGGUCCUCCGCUGAGAAGCCCCGGAUCACCAGCGUCCGCCGCUGACCCUGGCAGAGAACCUGGAAGCGCCCACUGGGUUGGAUGACCUCCGCCCCCUUCAGCCACACCACCUCGCCCGCCUCGGCCACCUCACACUCCAGACACACGUCCUCGCCGGCAGCCACCUGCCGGCUCUCGGGAGCGGGAGGUGUGGGAGCUGGGUGCGCAGGAACCGGGGCCACAGGCACGGGGACUGAAGACACGGGGGUGGGGACCGCAGGCACGGGGGCGCUGGCCGCAGGCACUGGCUCCAGGGCCUCUGCCAGAAACAAAGCCACUUCAGAAAGGACGCACUGGGGCUCUCCAGCUUGGGGAGGUCUGGAGCGCUCCAGGCGGGACUACCACCACCCACCUUAGGAAGGGCAACCACUCACCGAGCUUCACUGUCUGCGGCAGGUGCACGGGCUCCCCAGCCCCUGCUGGGCCCACUGCUGCCACGCGGAAGCGGUAGGUCUCCCCGGGGGCCAGGCCGUCCACCACGCACUCAGGCCCAGGCACCAGCUCAUGGCACAGCUGCCACUCGCCUGUGGCCGCCGCCUUCAUCUCCACCCUAUAGCCGCAGAGACCGCCGCCACCGUCGCUUGCAGGCGCCACCCAGGACAGCGUUACCGAACGGCCGCUGCGCGCCACCACCUCUGCGUCCUCUGGAGGGUCUGGGAGGCCUGCGGGGACGGAGCUGGUCAGUGGAGGCUCCCGGUCCGCGCCCGCGGGUGCCCAGCCUUGCCUGCCUGGUUUCUGAUCCUGGGGUGAGAAGUGGGCGCUGGCCCGUGAGCCCCUGUACUUGGUGGCCCCGACCGUCUGAGAGCGCAAAGGUCGUGCACUUCAGAGCCAGGGAGACAGUGUACCCUGAGCCUACCUGGAUGGCAGCCUCUGGGGCUGGAACAGCAGAACCCUGGUCGCAACCUGCCUGCCCGCAGGCGGCCCAAACCACCCACCUAGCACGGUGAGCCGCGCGGAGGCCACAGCGUCGCGGGCGGCGAAGGUGACCUCGCCAGCGUGCUGUGGCUGGGCACUGCGCAGCUGCAGGGUGUGGUGGCUGCCGUCGGCGGUGACCGUCCAGUUGCGGUCGUCCGGCUGCACGGCGGCCCCGUUGAUGUACCACGUCGCCUCGCCCACCGGCACCGCCUCACUGAGCGUGCAGCUGAAGCGGACCUGCCCACCGGCUCGCACGGCCGCGUCCUGCGGGGACUCCAGUACCUCCAGGCGCCAGCCUGCGGGGGCCGGGGUAUGCGGUGAGCGCGCCGGCCUGGAGGCAGGUCUGGGAAAUCUCCCGGCCACCGGGUCCCGCCAGCCCCGCCCCCCUGCUCCUGGCAGAGAAGGAAGCCCGGCAUCUGGCAGGAGGGGUCUCAAAAGACCGACGCCCCCCCCCUCCACCAACGUCCUCAGCCCCCAGCCCUGUACCUCUACAGCGGAGGAUGCAGUGGGAGGGGUCUCAGAGACCCCACACACCUGCUGAGCGGCAGCCGGUGGGAGGGGUCUCCAGAUACACGCCCCCCCCCCCGUGAGGCCUCAGCCCCGCCCCGCACCCCUAACCUCUGACUGUGAGGAACGCGGACGUCACCACGUCCCCUGCCAGGAAGGUCACCCGGCAGCUGUCCUGCGGCCGCAGGUUUUUGAGCAGCAGCAGGUGCCGCAGGCCGUUCUCGAAGUAGACCACCUCCGCGUUCUCGGAGGUUCGCACAGGCUCAUCGUCCAGCAACCAGGUGUGGGCGGCCACCUCGGGGCGGGACAGCUGGCACUCGAACAGCGCCUCGCCGCCUUCGAGUGCGUCCACGUUCUCCAGGCCACGCACCACUGUGUUCUUGGCUGCGGGGAAGGCGGCGGCUCAGGGUGCGCUGGGGCCUCCUCUGCCCCAGGGCCCCCUGCAGAGUUAUGUGGAAGAGCCCACCCCCAUUAGAAGGGCUUAAGGGCUGACCAGCAUGUGGCCCAGUGGAGGGCAGUGCACGGUGUCCACAUGGGGCCACCACGGGGGCCUCUUGAGGCCCUGCCCACUCCCAUACCAUCACCACGCUGGUAGCUUGCCUUGGCUGGUGGCCAGGGAGGAGGUGCUUCUCCACACCAGACAGGUGAGAAGCCUCACAGGUAUUCCCAAAGCUGCCCAGCCCACAGCCAGGCUCAAACCCUGCCCCCAGCAAGAGUUAUAUGCCCCUGCCCAGGUUGCAGCGUGGGACUCUGAAAAUGGCCCCCUUUCUUCCCAAUCUUCAGCCAGCGCUAUCAGACAUGCUGGGCUGCUCCCCUCACCCACAGGGACCAGAGAGACCCCUGCCCUACUUCCCCACCCCUCUCCAGCUCUCUUGUUCGCAUAGUACACCAGACUUAAUAAGUGGAUGUGUGUUUGAUGUGUUAAGCCAUGAGCUCAGGACUGGGCUUGCCUGGCCCCAACAGCAGCCCAGGCUUACCACCUGCCACGGCCCAUUCCCAUGAUACACCACCUAUACAGCAAGUGAUGCCAGUGGGAAGUCUGAGCAACUUCCUGGAGGAGGAAGAAUCUCAGGCUGGGCAUGACUGAGCUGGGCAGGGCACAUGUGAGGCAGGAAAGGAGAACCAGGUGACCCAGGGCUGGUCUGGAUGCUGGGAAGGGUGUGACCUUGACCCACAUGACUUUAGGAAGCCGCUACAGAGCCUGACCUGGGCAAUGGGGGAUGGGGCAACCACAGCCCCAACUGCUCUCUGGGAUACAUACCCAACUAGAACCUAUUCACAGCCCUAGUGCUCAGUCCCAGCUUAUCCACAGAGUACACAUGCCCUGCAGGUAGGGGCAUCUGCUCUGGACACGAAGCCCCAGGGAGUGAAUGGGGCAGGGCAUCUCAGAGCAGACGCCCCCACAGGACCCACCCAUGUCCCUCUUCUGGCCACCGUCCCACUCCCGGGCUCCUCAUACCACAGACCAGACUUCCCCACAUCCCAGCUCCUUUCCUGCCCACAUCAAAAUCAACAGCACCAAUGGGGGUUAGACAUCCCAGAUGUCAAAGCAGCAGUGAGCCCCUGCCCUUUCUGCCUCUCUGGGCUCCACUGUACCCUACCCAUCCCAGAUGGUCCCAUGCCUCAGCUGCACCCCCGCCUCCCUCAGGUCUGGGCUCAAAGGGCAGCCCCUCCCCAUAGCUGCUGUCACGUCUAACUUCAGCUCCCAGAGGGACAGCCCCCUGGAGGGAGGGAUUGCUGUCUAUUCCGAGCUGUGCCUCCUGGAACCAGAAAAAGGUGCUUUAAAAACGUCACUGUUUACAGAACCAGGACCUGCUUGUCCUGGCUUGGAUGGCCCUCUCACUAAUGCCUCCAGAUCACUCCUCACUGGGCAGUGUUCUGAUCUUCCCAACCAGGAACUGGCAGCGGCCAAAUGAUGUCCCUCCCCUGGGGGCUGCAGUCAACUGCCCCCCCACCCCUGGUCCCCCACACGGUAUCCUUGCUGUGUGCAGACAGGGACACAGGGCUCCAGUGCCCCACCUAAGAUCAGGGACUCAGGGCAUGCAGCCCAGUACCCCCCUCCUGUCCCAUCAGGCAGCUCCAGGAGGAGCGGAGGCCUGCCUGUUGGGGCCCUGUCUUUCCAGCACGGCCACAUAAUGCUGACUGUCACACCCGCCUCUGCACCAGGAAGGAUGGCCCCAACCACGCUGGAGCCGUGCAAGGCCUCACCUUGCACCUGCAGCAGGGCCACCACACGGGUGCCCGCAGCCUCACAAGAAUAGAUGCCACUGUCGCAGGGCAAGGCCGGCCUGAACGACAGCCUGGCCACGGUCCAGUCCUGCUCUAUGAUGACACGGCGCCCGUCAGCGCACACCUCCUGCUUGUCCAUCUUCCACGUGGCCUGCACAGGCCUUGAGUACUGGCAGAGGAGCUCGGCUGGGCCGCCCUCCUCCACGGCCAGGUCCUGCAUGGCACUGACCACCUCCACCGUGGGAUCUGUCGGCCGACACCCCGGUCAUGUGUCAGCUGGUGCAGCAUGGCUGCACCCCACCCACCCUCUGCUCUCAGCAGCUCAGCAGCAAGCAAGCGGUGUUGGGCGGGGGGGGGGGGG
ensembl:lncRNA